rnacentral:rRNA from 1 species
UGGGGAAUUUUGGACAAUGGGCGAAAGCCUGAUCCAGCAAUGCCGCGUGCAGGACGAAGGCCUUCGGGUUGUAAACUGCUUUUGUACAGAACGAAAAGUCUUGGGUUAAUACCCUGGGACCAUGACGGUACUGUAAGAAUAAGCACCGGCUAACUACGUGCCAGCAGCCGCGGUAAUACGUAGGGUGCAAGCGUUAAUCGGAAUUACUGGGCGUAAAGCGUGCGCAGGCGGUUAUGUAAGACAGAGGUGAAAUCCCCGGGCUCAACCUGGGAACGGCCUUUGUGACUGCAUAGCUAGAGUACGGUAGAGGGGGAUGGAAUUCCGCGUGUAGCAGUGAAAUGCGUAGAUAUGCGGAGGAACACCGAUGGCGAAGGCAAUCCCCUGGACCUGUACUGACGCUCAUGCACGAAAGCGUGGGGAGCAAACAGGAUUAGAUACCCUGGUAGUCCACGCCCUAAACGAUGUCAACUGGUUGUUGGGUCUUAACUGACUCAGUAACGAAGCUAACGCGUGAAGUUGACCGCCUGGGGAGUACGGCCGCAAGGUUG